rnacentral:rRNA from 1 species
AUACGGAAGGUCCGGGCGUUAUCCGGAUUUAUUGGGUUUAAAGGGAGCGCAGGCGGAGAUGCAAGCGUGACGUCAAAUUUCGGGGCUCAACCCCGUCUCGCGUCGCGAACUGCGUCCCUUGGUUGCGGGAAGGGGAGGCGGAACUCGUGGUGUAGCGGUGAAAUGCAUAGAUAUCACGAAGAACUCCGAUCGCGAAGGCAGCCUUCCGGCCCGUCAACGACGCUCAUGCUCGAAGGGGCGGGUAUCAAACAGGAUUAGAUACCCUGGUAGUCCGCACAGUAAACGAUGGACACCCGCGGUUUGGCCUGUAUGGCUGAGCCGCCAAGCGAAAGCGUUAAGUGUCCCACCUGGGGAGUACGCCGGCAACGGUGAAACUCAAAUGAAUUGACGGGG